rnacentral:rRNA from 1 species
UGAGGAAUAUAGCGCAAUGGGGGAAACCCUGACGCAGCAACGCCGCGUGGGUGAAGAAGGCCUUCGGGUCGUAAAGCCCUUUCGGACGGGACGAAAGUUCCGCGGGGAUGAUCCGCGGAGCCUGACGGUACCGUAGGAAGAAGCACCGGCUAACUCCGUGCCAGCAGCCGCGGUAAUACGGAGGGUGCAAGCGUUGUUCGGAAUUACUGGGCGUAAAGCGCGUGUAGGCGGCCUUGUAAGUCAGAUGUGAAAGCCCUCGGCUCAACCGGGGAAGUGCAUCUGAAACGGCAAGGCUUGAGUACGGGAGAGGGAGGCGGAAUUCCCAGUGUAGAGGUGAAAUUCGUAGAUAUUGGGAGGAACACCGGUGGCGAAAGCGGCCUCCUGGACCGAUACUGACGCUGAGACGCGAAAGCGUGGGGAGCAAACAGGAUUAGAUACCCUGGUAGUCCACGCGGUAAACGAUGGGCACUAGGUGUGGGGGGUAUCCACUCCUCCCGUGCCGCAGCUAACGCAUUAAGUGCCCCGCCUGGGGAGUACGGCCGCAAGGCUA